rnacentral:lncRNA from 1 species
CCUCCUAACUUAUAAAUAAUGAACUCAAUUGACUACUACAUAUUUCAACUAGAACCAUAAAAAAUUAACAUGAAAAACUGAAAAUGCACAACAAAACAUUAACAAUAAUCCAUUCAUGCAAGGCGACUUUGGUGUAACAUGCUUUUGAUGAUACAAAUAUUUAAUUAACGUGAAAUUUAACAAUUAUUCUCACAAGAUCGUUCUUGGGUUUCCAACACC